rnacentral:miRNA from 1 species
UAGACAAGAAGAAUGAAAGAU